UUCUGACUAAAAUUUGUAUUUUUGUCGGUUUUUUAAGAUGAAAACUCACAUUAAAAUUAAGUUUACCUUAAAAUUAACAGAAUUUAAGCGAAUUCCACUUAUUUUUAACGGAAAUCGCAUUGUCUUAAGCUCAAAACAACAGAGGACUGCCAGCACCUCCAGAACUAAUCAAACAAAUUUUGGCGGCCUUGAGAUAUUAUGUAACAUAUUUAUAUCAGAUAUUGUUCAAUUAACUGUUUGAGGUGAUUUGUUCUAUUUUAGCCAAUCAACGGUUUACCGAAUAAUUAAAAAUUUGUACGAGCAGCUCAGCAGGAAAAUUAUAGAGUUUAUAAGAUUUCCAUCAAGUGACGCUGAUGUCAUAAGAACAACAGCAGAAUUUCAUGGGAAAGCUAGAUUGCCCGACAUCAUAAGAUUGGUGGAAAUAAUGCUGAGUUUUUCAAAAACCGAAAGGAAUGCAUACAUACUUCUCAAUCACCGUGCAAAGAAUGGUCCGAAGUUGUUUUUCGAUGGCCUGGCUUCGCUUAUGGUUAAAAUAUAUUCCAUUAUAUUUUCAACACUCUCUGAAUAAUUCCAGCUUAACUUGAUAUCUUAAAUUAUAUUGGACUAGUCUCGGAUCCAAGGGUUAAUUUGGUCGAAGAUCUACUUCUACAGGCCAUUGAAGUUAUUUCUUCGACCCGACUUCAGUGAAAACUGAGGCUGGACAGAAAUGUUUUAAUUGAACGAUAUUUCAGUGGUAACAAU